UUUGGCAAUGAUCACAUUGCCUCUCUAAAAGUGACAAAUUGGCAGCUGUUGCCAGGGAGAGGCCAUUUCCUGAUGGUCCACAUCAAAAUGUUAAUUGAAUCUAGGCCCCAGGGAGAAGCAACUUCCUGUGUAUGCAUGUUAAGAGACAAAAAUGGUGAAGUAUGAUCUUCCAGAAAAGAAAAGAGCCUCAGAUGGGCAUGUGUAUAACUCCAUAAACACACUGCCUGUGGUCAGUUCUCCAGGGUAAGGAGGGCACCGUGCUUGCAGAAAUCCCACCCUAAGGGAAGAGUCAUGGGAAAGAAGUGAGCCUAUAAAGUCCAAGGUCAUUUACAUUCACGAAGCACUUCAGGACUCAUUGCCAAGGCUCUUGUGUAAGCAUCUCUUUGGUAUGCAGGCACAGAUGAAGCUCUUGAAGAUGGUUGGUGCCCCAGGUAGGAAGUUGACCCAAGUGAGUUCCUUGACUCUUGAGAAAUGAGCUCAGUUAUAAGAAAGGAGAGGGUUCUGAGACUU
rnacentral:lncRNA from 10 species